rnacentral:rRNA from 1 species
CUCGAGUGGCGAACGGGUGAGUAACACGUGAGUAACCUGCCCUUGACUUUGGGAUAACUUCAGGAAACUGGGGCUAAUACCGGAUAGGAGCUCCUGCUGCAUGGUGGGGGUUGGGAAAGGUUUCGGCGGUUGGGGAUGGACUCGCGGCUUAUCAGCUUGUUGGUGGGGUAGUGGCUUACCAAGGCUUUGACGGGUAGCCGGCCUGAGAGGGUGACCGGCCACAUUGGGACUGAGAUACGGCCCAG